AGCUCCAAUAGCGUAUAUUAAAGUUGUUGCAGUUAAAAAGCUCGUAGUUGGAUUUCUGGUGGGAGCUGCCGGUCGGUCACGCAAGUGUCUCGAACUGUCGCAGCAUCUCUGCCAUCCUCGGGGAGAACGUUGCUGGCAUUAGGUUGUCGGCGGCGGGAUCCUCGUCCUUCACUGUGAGUAAACUAGAGUGUUCAAAGCAGGCUUAGGCCGUUGAAUACGUUAGCAUGGAAUGAUGAGAUAGGACCUUGGGUCUAUUUUGUUGGUUUGCGUUCCAAGGUAAUGAUUAAUAGGGAUAGUUGGGGGUAUUCGUAUUCAAUUGUCAGAGGUGAAAUUCUUGGAUUUAUCGAAGACGAACUACUGCGAAAGCAUUUACCAAGGAUGUUUUCAUUAAUCAAGAACG
rnacentral:rRNA from 1 species